CGAAGCUGCUUAGAGGCUGUUGGAAUUGUAAUAGGUACACAGUAGCGCACGUGCAUGGAAGCACGGGCGAGGCGUUACCGCGCCAAGGACGGCGCGUAAAAGCCGGCUGCGUCAGGCAUAGAAAACCUGACUUACAAUUCUUACAGCCUCUUGGCUG
rnacentral:ncRNA from 1 species